rnacentral:rRNA from 1 species
GCUAAACAGCUAGCUUAAAUACCCAAACAACUAAUACAACAUUAAAACCCUGCACAAGACCAACAUGCCACAAACUAAAACAUUUUACCGCCCAAGUAUGUGCGACAGAAAAGGCAACACUAAAGCCAUAGAAAUAGUACCGUAAGGGAACGCUGAAAGAGAAAUGAAACAAAUCAUUAAAGCACAACAAAGCAGAGAUUAACUCUCGUACCUUUUGCAUCAUGAUUUAGCCAGCCCCCCUGAGCAAAGAGAACUUUAGUUCAAAGCCCCGAAACUAAGUGAGCUACCCCGAGACAGCCUAUUAUUUAGGGCCAACCCGUCUCUGUGGCAAAAGAGUGGGAAGAUCUCCAGGUAGAGGUGACAGACCUACCGAACCUAGUUAUAGCUGGUUGCCUAAGAAAUGGAUAGAAGUUCAGCCUCGCACUCCUUAAUUCAGAACCCAAUAAUUCACAAGAACCAUAGUAAUAUGCGAGAGUUAGUCAUAAGGGGUACAGCCCUUACGAAACAGAAUACAACCUCACCAGGUGGUUAAAGAUUAUAUUAAACAAGAUAAACUGCUUCAGUGGGCCUAAAAGCAGCCAUCUGAUCAGAAAGCGUUAAAGCUCCGGCAGAACCAAAUUCCAUUAUUUAAAUAUUAAAUCUAAAACCCCUAAUCUUAUUAGGCCAUUCCAUGCCCACAUGGAAGAGAUACUGCUAAAAUGAGUAAUAAGAAGGAACCUCCCCCUUCUCCAAGCCUACGUGUAUACUAGAUCGGACCAACCACUAGUAAUUAUCGACCCCAAACAAAGAGGGAAAUGUGAUCACAUUAAACAACAAGAAAUACCCACACAACCCAAUCGUUAACCCCACACUGGAAGGCAUUAAGGAAAGACCAAAAAAAAAGGAAGGAACUCGGCAAACACAAGCCUCGCCUGUUUACCAAAAACAUCGCCUCCUGCAAACCAACGACGUAUAGGAGGUCUUGCCUGCCCAGUGACAAUGUUUAACGGCCGCGGUAUUUUGACCGUGCGAAGGUAGCGCAAUCACUUGUCUUUUAAAUGAAGACCUGUAUGAAUGGUGAAACGAGGGCUUAACUGUCUCCCUUUUCUAGUCAAUGAAAUUGAUCUGCCCGUGCAGAAGCGGACAUAAAAAUACAAGACGAGAAGACCCUUUGGAGCUUAAGAUAUAAAGAUCACCUAUGUCAAUGAACCCCUAUACGGCAACAAACUAAAUAGCAACUGAUCUUAAUCUUCGGUUGGGGCGACCACGGGAGAAAAUAAAGCUCCCACGCGGACGGGGGUAAACCCUAAAACCAAGAAAAACAUUUCUAAACAACAGAACUUCUGACCAUUAAGAUCCGGCCACACGGCCGACCAACGGACCAAGUUACCCUAGGGAUAACAGCGCAAUCCCCUUUCAGAGUCCAUAUCGACAAGGGGGUUUACGACCUCGAUGUUGGAUCAGGACAUCCUAAUGGUGCAGCCGCUAUUAAGGGUUCGUUUGUUCAACGAUUAAAGUCCUACGUGAUCUGAGUUCAGACCGGAGCAAUCCAGGUCAGUUUCUAUCUGUAACGCUACUCUUCCUAGUACGAAAGGACCGGAAAAGAGGGGCCCAUGUUAUAAGACACGCCCCACCCUAACUUAAUGUAAUCAACUAAAUUAAAUAAAAGGAAGGCACAAACCCAUAUCAAGAUAAGAUU